AGCCUCAUUGGCCAGAAGGGAUUCCUUCUGGUUGAUGAGGUUGUUAUCUGGUUGAUGAGGUAUAACAACCUCAUCAACCGGAAGGAAUUCCUUCCAAUCGAUGAGGUU
rnacentral:miRNA from 1 species